rnacentral:tmRNA from 1 species
GGGGGCGAAACAGGAUCGACGUGUGUAGUAAAGAUCUGAUUGCUAUCCGGCGUGAUUGAGCCGUUAAACCGAUCAUUUUCACAAGUGCCAACGAUAACGAGGUACUCGCUGUUGCUGCGUAAUGAAAACCCUCACGGGUAGACAUUACAAAGUAAAAGCGCGGUUGGGCUGCACCGGGCAACAGAAGCAGAUUCCAGCGGUUUGGGGAGCACCGGGCAACAGAAGCUCCCUAUU